UACGUAGGGAGCAAGCGUUAUCCGGAUUUACUGGGUGUAAAGGGCGCGCAGGCGGGCCGGCAAGUUGGGAGUGAAAUCCCGGGGCUUAACCCCGGAACUGCUUUCAAAACUGCUGGUCUUGAGUGAUGGAGAGGCAGGCGGAAUUCCGUGUGUAGCGGUGAAAUGCGUAGAUAUACGGAGGAACACCAGUGGCGAAGGCGGCCUGCUGGACAUUAACUGACGCUGAGGAGCGAAAGCGUGGGGAGCAAACAGG
rnacentral:rRNA from 1 species